AUCCUGCCUCUGGCGACGGGCGACACGGCGAGUCGGCGACAGUUCCUCGCCUCUCACCAAAACAUAAUCAAUCGUACCCAGACUCCGGAGCGCCGGCGACGGACGACACGGCGAUAGUUCAUCAGUUCCUCUCGCCAAAAUAGCACGUUCCACUGCCGCACGGGCGUUCCACCACCAUAGGGUACAAGAAGACAAGGAUCUGCUGCGCGAGCCCGCCAGGAAGCCCAUGGAGCUGGCGCGGUUCGUCGGGCUGUCUCUCCGCCGCGGAGGGGGAUACAUCUUCUUCUUAAGAACCUGGAAUCAUUGCGACGGGCCACUUGGAUCCCCUCCGCCUGGUCAGUUCAUUCUUGGCAUUGAUUCAGUCUUGUUGAUGACGUACGAGUAGCACAGUGAUUCAGUAUUGUUGACGGUGUCCAAAAUUUAUUUCUCUUGCAAUGCAAAUUAUGUUUAUGUACUGUCCAAAUUUCAGUGUUUUGUUGUCCAAAAAUUCAUUGUAUGUGCUGUCCAAAUCUCAGUGUUUUGUUGUCCAAAAAUUCAGAGUUGGUGUUAGUUAUCCAAAUUUCAGUGCGUAGAUAGACUGUCUAAAUUUUAGUUUAUAUGCUCUCCAAAUUUCGGUGUACUUUCCCUGCUAUUUUACUGCCAUUUAUCAAAUUGUUUGCUGUCUUUCAUCUAGUGAUUUCAGUGUACCAAGGUUGGCUUUAACCCUCUGUUCUCUUCUGUUUUCCUAAGCACCCACGAGCUUGCAUUGUUGCAAGGACGAAUAUGCUGAUCUCGUAAUCAAUAGAACAAAAGCUCCGCCACCAAAAGAUGGGCCCCAGUUCAAAGUUUGGCACAGGGUCCCGGAUAUUGCCGACCCGGCGCUGCCCAUCUUCAGCUUCAUCGUCGGCAUCAAUUGAGAUGCUCAAUCUCGACCUUCUCACUGUUGUUUCAUAAUUUCUCCCAGCUUACAAUUAUUUACUUAGAGCCACCUUGUAACAAUGUUGCAAAAUGAAAGUCUUGCUCGGAACCUUUUCUCCUAGCGUCAACCACAAAAAAACCUGAUGUCCGGAAUCCACGGCUCUCAAAUUGAUUGAGAUUUAGCUAAUUCUCUGUCGACCAAGAAAAUAACAAAAUAAAAACCAGUUUGAUAAAAAGUGAGAAAAAUAAGAAAAAAAUAAAGAAAUAAAAUAAAUGU